CGAGAAAGGUAGUUCAUUUUUGGUCCUUCUCCUACUAUCCGAGGAAAUACUAUGGCGCUAUUUUCAUAAAAAAAUCGAAAUUUCUUGGGUUCAUAGUAAGGAACCAUAGCUGUAAAGUUCUCAGCUUCAUGAUGAAUAUCCAUUCUUGGAUUGCAUUGUGUAAAACUCAACUUCCCGUCACCAUCUUCUUUAUUAUUGUUAGUAUCCGAAACAACCUUUAUUCUUUUAGACCUGUAAUCACUUCCGAUUUUAAAGUUCGCAUCAUUGAACAAGGAUGCCUCGGAAUUACAGGUAGAAGUCGCUUGGCCCUCAUAAGCACAUUGGUACUCAUA